rnacentral:sRNA from 1 species
GAGCCAUGAAAGACUUAAGUAUUUUUCUAUAUAAACUUCAGAAUUCAAUAAUGUCAGUGUAUAUCUUUAAAACAAACUUCUCAGUUAAAACCAAAUAGGACAUAGUGAUUUACUUUAAAUGUCAAGCAUCUUUCAGAUCAAAUUGUCAUAUGUUGUGUUGCCAGGAACGGGUAAAACGACAUUUAUCAGAAUGCUUGCUGGAAGACUUAAACCUGAUGAAGGAGGUGAAGUACCAGUUCUAAAUGUCAGUUAUAAGCCACAGAAAAUUAGUCCCAAAUCAACUGGAAGUGUUCGCCAGUUACUACAUGAAAAGAUAAGAGAUGCUUAUACUCAUCCACAAUUUGUGACCGAUGUAAUGAAGCCUCUGCAAAUUGAAAACAUCAUUGAUCAAGAGGUGCAGACAUUAUCUGGUGGUGAACUACAGCGAGUAGCUUUAGCCCUUUGUUUGGGCAAACCUGCUGAUGUCUAUUUAAUUGAUGAACCAUCUGCAUAUUUGGAUUCUGAACAAAGACUGAUGGCAGCUCGAGUUGUCAAACGUUUCAUACUCCAUGCAAAAAAGACAGCCUUUGUUGUGGAACAUGACUUCAUCAUGGCCACCUAUCUAGCGGAUCGCGUCAUCGUUUUUGAUGGUGUUCCAUCUAAGAACACAGUUGCAAACAGGUAAAAUUACUUUUUAAUAUGUUCAAAGUAAUUCAUUUUAAAUUUUCCAGUAAAUAGUAAAGUCACUCACUUUAAUUUUUAAAAAAUGAA